GGAGAGAGCGAUGGUGUGUAUAUAUAUUGGGGGACCAGUCCCACUCGCAAAAGGGUUUUGUUGCUCUUGUGGCUGAUGGCAUUCCCACCACCACACAAGGAGCAAGAGAGAGAGAGAGAGAGAGAGAUUCAGGUUUGAGUGGCUGUGGGAGCAUUCAGCGUUGUUCCACUAUGCUGGACACAUGCAUGAAAGAGGUCUCAGAACCUUUUCUUUGUAAAGGUGGAGGACCCUUGUUUGCUAUCUGCCAAACUUUCUUCUCAAGCCUUUCUCCUGGGGUAUUUUUUGCCGUGGGAGCCCUUUCCUACAUGCAGGGGCUGCCCUAUUCUGUCGCUCGUGGGGUUUGGUCGAGUUCAUUAGACCUGCAUCAAGGCAAGCAAACACCAGGAAGCCUGUAGAAGUAAAUUUCUUUAAAAGCUUUUGGGAUUUUAGAGGGUGUUUAAGAAGUUAUAGCUAGGGAAAGUGAUUGCAUCAUUGAUGUACCUGGCCAGUUGCAAGCUGCCUUCUUUCUGUGGAUGUUGGGGUGGGGAGAGAUUACCUCCACUACAUGGCAGACAGCUUCCAUGACUUUUGCGAUGUUGGAAGACAGCUCCCAUUCACCACCAAUAUCAGAGGUAUCUGUCUGACAGCCCAAUAAGCCAACCGGAUUAUUGAUUGGACUCAUAAAUCUAUCAUGUUGGAUUUGAAAAGUGUAUGUUAGAUCUUAUUUCCUGUCAAUUUAUGCAAAGAUUUUAGGUUUCUAGGUCCUAACCAGUACUGUCAUGUUCCAUGACCAAAACUUAUUGCAUCUUAAAACUAGUCAUGGGAUGAGGAUGCAUACUAGGUGCCUGGAUUUUGCAUAUAUAAUGGAUGAUUUGAGCAAUGAUUUCGGUGAAUGUGAAUUUUGGCACAGUAUAGUGAAUGGUGGAUGGAUAACUGCAUUCCUUAAGUCUCAUAUGAGUAAAUUGAUUGCUUCUUCUUUUUUUUAAUUUUUUUAUUAAAAAAACUGGGCUUAGCCUUGAGUAUUAAUGUGCAAGACAUCAAUAAUUGACUUUGUGGGACCUAGAGGCAACAUUAGGUCAUAUGCGAUGGAAGCAAGGAGUAGGGAAUAGGGAUAUGUGAGGAAAGUAACCAAUGACAUUUGUGAUAGCCACUAUACUUGGCAAUGAAAGUCCAAGACAUUAUACAAACAUAAACAGUUAGAGUUGCUAUUGAAAUUGACCAUCCGCUUGAUUUAUUAUGUUCGACAAGAUUCAAUGUAUGAUAUUGUACCUUCUAGAAUUUACUUGUUUGAUCAUCAAAUCGACGCAAAAUGGAUUUAUAUUUUUAAUAUCCCGUCCAUUUUUUUAUUCAUUUAUUUCUAACAAUAUGAUAAAGGGUUUGAUUGGUUUAUGCUCAAAACUUUAAUAUGAAGUUAUUGAAUCUCAAGCCAUGUACUUUAAGAUGCCUAAAUAAUGAAUAUUGAAGUUAGUGACCAGAUCAUGUCACAAUUAAGCAAACUCACUUGAUAGUGGACUCAUCCUAACUAUGAUUUGAAGGAAAGAAAUGAAACAUUACUUGAUAUGUAUUGCAUAUAUAAUUAAUCAAUAUCAUGCACAUUUUAACAUGUAUAUAAAUCGCAUGAAAACGAACAAAUCAAGAUUAUUAUAAGAUAUCGAUUGUUAUGCUACUCAUUGAAGGCUUUAAUCAAAUACAAUUAAUUGUUUAAUUUGGAAGUUCUGCACCAAUUUUUGUCUGUAAUAGUUCUUUUUCUCUUCUCCCUUUGUCGACCACAAACUUCAAAAUUAGAAGAUAUAGGGCUAUAUUUGGUCAGUAGAAUACCAUGGCAAUCAGUCCUCUCACAGGACUCAGUCUGGGGACCUACUUAUUGCCACCUUUCAUUGUUGUAGGGGAACCAAUGAGGCCUGAUUUUAAGAGGGCAGAGCCUGAAACAAUAAGCUGCCAACCGAGACAAGCCGAGUUUGGGACCGGUUUUCUGUACUACCAUCGAUCAAAUAUUUCUAACUGAGGUAGAAUUUGAUUAAUUGUGUUCGAGAUUAAACGUGAUUAAAUACUAAUUGAACAAUGCAAUGGUAACUCAGAAAAAUCACUCAAAAAAGUCGUUAAACUAUCUUCCACCGUUCACGCUGCUUCAUCAUGCGUCACAAUUCACAAUGCAAAUACAAGGAGAGCAAUGAGAAUACAACACACCAGCUGAUUGAUUUGGAGUUAGUGAAGCAUUAUUGAUACUAAUUACUACGUUUGAGGACCGAGACAGCGAAAGCACGGGGAGAGCUGCUGUAAUGCUAGUAAGAGUUGUGUUACAACCAUUUGCAAGUGCAUGAAAGGAAGGAUGCUUUCUUCUCAUCAAAACUUGCAGUUUUUUGGUCAGGCACUUCUCUCUCUCUAGUUAAUUAGGCAGUUUUUAACAUAUGAGAAGUAGAAUUAAACUUAUCUUCGCAUGCUGAUGAAUAUUCCGGUCAAAUGCUUUUCAAAAAAGAAAAAAAAGAACAUACUGCACCAAUGGACCUUCUACCAUGGCAACCAGCAAAACACCUACAGUGUGAACUGUGAAAUAUUGAAAAAGAAUAUGGCCAUCUGUGGGUCGAGAAGGGCCCGACCGACCAGGAUGCACCUAAAAACUAGGCCCAUGUAAUAAGCAGGCCGGGUUGGGUUUGAUACUAAAGCCUCGGACCUGGAACGUAGGCCCGAACGCCCAAAGGCAAACUUGGUGUGGCCCAUGAACAGGUCUAUGAUCACGUGGGCUAACACACUUUGGGUUGGCCGAUUGGGACCUCAUGGCAAGAAAUUUUGCCCUACAUUGCAUGUACUAUAUGGCCGCACACAUCACCAAUCGCAACCGCUCAUUCCUAUAGUGAUGCAUCAAGACACACACUCGAUGAAUGUGGCCUACAUGAACGAGCGGUUGUGAUUGGUGGUGUGCACGGUCACAUGUUAAUUUGCUAACUUGUCAUCUAUUGCAAAUAUAUCUCAUCUUGUACUAGCACUAGAGACCAAAGUAUAUCCGGGGUAUCUGGGGUUCCCAUUCUGGCUAGGCAGCACCCCACAUGGUGUUUUUCCCCUAGGAGCCCCCAUUCCCAAGCUUCCUCAAGGUCAUCUUCGAUGGGUCUGUUUUGGAUGGAGGCACGAGGGGAUGUGUGAGUUUUGUCAUAAGCAACCCGAACUCCAAGUUGGUGGCAGCGGGCGACUAUCAAUUAUUCGACAUCACGGUCCCCGGUGCGGAGCUGAGAGCUGCAUGGGUGGGCUUUUGAUAUGCUCAAUGAGUGCUACUAGCCAGUUCAGUCAUCCUGGAGGGUAACUCGGCCAUGGUCAUCAAUUAGAUCCAGAGAGAAAAGGGUUGCCGACUGCGACCAUCCCUUGCUUCGAGACAUUUGGAUGAUGAUGAGGAAUGGAGGGGUCGUCCAAGCCAAGCAUAUAUUUAGAGAAGCUAACGAGGCUGCGGAUUAGGUGGCCGCCUAUGUGGCGUACCAUGCCGGUAGCACCUUGUGGGCUGGCGAUGGGGAGCUACAUCGAGAGCUCCGUGAUAUUCAUUUUUCUGAUUUUAUUGGGUGCAUUCGUACACGUAAAAUGCAUGAAUUACCUAUUUUAUCAAAACAAAAAAAAGUAUAUCUGCAUAUCAUAAUAUAAACUCUGAUAGUACUAGAGACUUGGACGCCUAAAGGCUUUUGGAGAUUUGAAGGUCUGCAGUGAUAAAUACGUAAAGGUUUCAGCAAAUGAAAUGGCUAACUCUGUUUAUCAGCUAGAAAAUCUAAUAAGUAUGAUUUUCCACUUAAGCAUGGACUAUGAGGUUCUGUUUAUAAGAUUUAUAGUUUGUGUGCAUGACUUUCUGUAGUAACAUCAGAAUUGUUAUAAAAACAUGACCACUGAAUGAUGUGGCUUGCGCCUUCAAAUUGUAGAAAGAAGAGGAAGCCUAACAACAUAAUGAAUUAUUUCAUUGCGAACGCUGCAAGGAUUUGUCACUCUGCACUUGCAAGGGCGAGUAUGUUCUUCCAUUCUUUUGCAUGGGACAUUUCAGUUUGACAAGUAGGCUUGCUUCAAGUUUUCUACUAUAACUAGGUUUCCUUCUUGAUUUUAUUUUAUGUUGUCUCAUUUCCUAUGUCAUCUAUUUUUUGAGGUUGGAGGACCUAUCUACCAUGACUGCUUGUCUAUUUUUGAGAUUGCUACCUCUGCAUUCUUUUCUAAGCAGCCCUCUUUCAGGCUUGCAGACAAAGUGAUGAUUCCAACCACUCCCUCCUGAUCUGAGCUCCAUUGCUCCAAUUUUUUUACAUGAAGUAAUGCAUCUGCGUCCUGGUCAUGCUUGUUCCCUUGUCUCCUUAUAUUGUUGGAUGUGGCUGCAUAAAGAGUGGGUUCAUCAAUUAAAGGAAGAGGAUCACAAUCAUAAACAGGAUGCAGGCUUGCUCCAUUGAGACAAUUUUAUCAUUUGAUACACAUUCUAGGACAAUUGGAACAGCUCAAAAAUUUAGAAUUUAAGUGGCUUUCAAUAGACAGGGCCAUGGUUGGGUAAAUACAGAUAUAUGAAGUGCAAGUCCACUCGAUGUGAUCAUGACAAUCAAAAAUAUGUUGGCUGAUGAGUAGGCUGAUAUCAUCGUAGAGCUUCCCACAUAAUUUUCAAAUGUAAGAGAAUAUUUGGAGAAUAAUUCCUUCCGCCGCCGCUCUGUAAUCACUCUUCGAUGAUAAGUAGGGUGGCUAGGUUGAUAUGUC
rnacentral:lncRNA from 1 species